rnacentral:rRNA from 1 species
UAGGGAAUCUUCCGCAAUGGACGCAAGUCUGACGGAGCAACGCCGCGUGAGUGAAGAAGGAUUUCGGUUCGUAAAACUCUGUUGUUAGAGAAGAACAGCGCAUAGAGUAACUGUUAUGCGUGUGACGGUAUCUAACCAGAAAGCCACGGCUAACUACGUGCCAGCAGCCGCGGUAAUACGUAGGUGGCAAGCGUUGUCCGGAUUUAUUUGGCGUAAAGCGAGCGCAGGCGGUCAAUUAAGUCUGAUGUGAAAGCCCCCGGCUCAACCGGGGAGGGUCAUUGGAAACUGGUUGACUUGAGUGCAGAAGAGGAGAGUGGAAUUCCAUGUGUAGCGGUGAAAUGCGUAGAUAUAUGGAGGAACACCAGUGGCGAAGGCGACUCUCUGGUCUGUAACUGACGCUGAGGCUCGAAAGCGUGGGUAGCAAACAGG